rnacentral:misc_RNA from 1 species
GAUGAAGAACGCAGCGAAAUGCGAUAAGUAAUGUGAAUUGCAGAAUUCAGUGAAUCAUCGAAUCUUUGAACGCACAUUGCGCCCCCUGGCAUUCCGGGGGGCAUGCCUGUUCGAGCGUCAUUACAACCCUCAAGCUCUGCUUGGUAUUGGGCUCUGCUGGGACCGGCAGGCCUUAAAAUCAGUGGCGGCGCCACUCGGCUUCAAGCGUAGUAAUUCUUCUCGCUUCGGAGACCCGGGUGCGUGCUAGCCAGCAACCCCCAACUUUCUUAGGUUGACCUCGGAUCAGGUAGGGAUACCCGCUGAACUUAAGCAUAUCAUAAGCGGAGGA